AUACGGAGGGUGCAAGCGUUACUCUGAAUCACUGGGCGUAAAGCGCGCGCAGGCGGUCUUUUAAGUUGGAUGUGUAAGCCUACGGCUCAACCGUAGAACUGCAUCCAAAACUAUUAGACUAGAGUGUGGGAGAGGAAGAUGGAAUUAGUUGUGUAGGGGUAAAAUCCGUAGAGAUAACCAGGAAUACCAAAAGCGAAGGCAAUCUUCUGGAACACUACUGACGCUGAGGCGCGAAAGCGUGGGGAGCAAACAGGAUUAGAAACCCUAGUAGUCC
rnacentral:rRNA from 1 species